rnacentral:rRNA from 1 species
UACGUAGGGUGCGAGCGUUGCCCGGAUUUAUUGGGCGUAAAGGGCGCGUAGGCGGCCACGCACGUCCGUUGUGAAAUCGCCCGGCUCAACUGGGCGGGGUCAGCGGAUACGGCGUGGCUAGAGCAAGCUAGGGGGCAAUGGAAUUCCCGGUGUAGUGGUGGAAUGCGUAGAUAUCGGGAGGAACACCAGUGGCGAAGGCGGUUGCCUGGAGCUUUGCUGACGCUGAUGCGCGAAAGCGUGGGGAGCGAUCCGG